rnacentral:lncRNA from 1 species
GAUCACAGAAACAGUCUACUAGUAUUUUGUGGUUAAUGUGGCUCGAUGUUCCCAUGGCUUGUGCUUUUGGUCGUCCUGACGAUUGCUGCUGCUUUCACCCUUAAUGCUUUCGUCGAAUCCCUCAGUAAUGGGGCCAGAAGGGAGCUGUCACCCAUCUCUAUGAGAGAGUCACCCAUCUCUAACUCUCUAUGGAAUGUAGUCUGACCUGAAAUGGCUAAAAUUAUUAGGUGAGUUACUGAAAUAAUUUAGUUAUUAAGUCGCUCAGUUAUUUAUUAGUUAAUUGAUUAGUAAAUUCUUUACGCCGGGAAUCUGGUUUUCCUCACUUCCAGUCUUACUCCUUUUGAGAAAGUAGAAGUUAGAUAAAGGGAAGUCUUAAGGCUUCUAACCAGUCUUGACCCACCAUGUUCUUUUGUACCUGGAGCCUUAUCCCAAGCCUUGGGUAAACUACAGCCCCACUCACUGCCGACUUUUAGAUAGCUCAGGAACUGAGAAUUUUUUAAGGGUUGUUAAAACAAAACCAAAGAGGAGUAUGUGACAAGGAUCGUGUGUGGUCCUCAAAGUCUAAAAUAUUUACUCUCAGCUUCUUUGCAGAAAUAGUUUGCAAACCCCUAAGGCACAUGGCCAACUGUGGUAACUCCAAAUUCAAUCCCAGCCUUGCUAACAGAAUCCCACUUGAAUUCUAGGCAGCAGGGUGCUCAGCUCCAGAGAGUUUAUCACAAAUGAUCCAACCAGUCAUGAUAAUCCUAUUCCUAUUUCUCAGGCUGUUUUAUAGUUAAGAGUAGCCGUGUAACGUAGUUCUGGUCUAGGAGACCUAAGUGGAAAUAUUUUGUCUGGGGGGCUGGGAGUGGUUUGGGGAAAGCUUUUGCUUUUCUGAUGUAUUCAUUUGACAGUAUCUGUUUCAUGUCUUUGAAUGUGGUAUGGUGGCUGGAAUUGCAGCAGCUCUUUUGUGACCCUGAGGAAAUGGCCAAGAGGAUUGCAGGGUCAUUGGCCUUAAUUAUUGUACGAAGUAUUGCCCUAUCUCCUUAUUACUUACUUUGAGAUUUAUUUAGCCUUUGUAAUUUGUGUUAAUUUUAUGUAUUUAAAAUAAACUCUGUAACCUCAGAAAAUUACUCAGCCUUUCAGUUUUUGAAAUGGGAAUAUCAAUAGUACCUACGUCAUAAGGUCCUUUUGGGGCUUACAAAAUGAAUGCAUGGAAGACAUUUAGUAUCAUAUCUGGAACAUACUUAUGCUCAAAAAUGUGUGUUGUUGCUGUUGUUUUAUUGUAAUUCUCCUGUUCCUCUUCCUCCUCCUGUUUCUUCCUCUAGGUCUUUCAUAAAGGAUGAGCAUUUGAGGUUCCAUAUGGAGCCCCACCCCUUUACUAAUGGUACAGAGGCUUUAGGACUUCUCAGGAAAUACUUACCUAAGGAGGAGAAGCUUAAACUUUUAAAUUCAGUGUUGGAAAUAGCCUGAUAAUUUCUCAUUCCUGGUGUGAUAUUAAUUUGAAUUUUUGACAGUGGAUAGAUUUGGAGGACAAAAGACCCUAGAGGAAACAUUUCUUUUUCUUUCAGGUUUCAAAAGUUACCUGGGUAAACUGGAGAAAAAUAUUUACAAAAGCACCUUAUUACCAACCAAAGGCCUCUGCUUGUGCUGAACAGGGUUUGAUUUUUUUUAAAGGAUCCAUGUGAUGUGUCACCUAAGUGAUAUACAUUUUGUGUAGGAUUUUCUUUUAUCAUACCAAUUUAUAUUUCUCAUAAAGCACCCUUGGGACUUUGACAGGGAAGAGAAUCUAUUUAGUAAAAUUAGGAACAGGGGAAAAAAAAGUGCCUCUUUUUAAAAAUGGUGCUUCAAAAGGAGGAAUAUUUCUAUUGCAAUAAAUUAUUUUUCGAUUGCCUCUAUACCUCUUCCUGCUCCAUAUCCCCAUUCUGAAUGGCAUCAUUAAACAGUGCCCGAUGUGAAUAUUAAUGUGAGUCAGGAGAAGUCUGCCAGCCACACACAAUGCAUUCAAAUGUUGGCUUUACAUAAUUAUCCUUCCUUUUUCCUGUGUUCUUUAUGAUGCCUGGUCUAGAUUUUGCAGGGCUAUCUAGUAAAUCUGCAGUAAAAAUGUCUUUGUAUUUGGAUGACAGCCUGAAGUAUUGCCAGCCUUCUACCUACAUGAAAUUUGGCUCCAGAGAAAGCAAGCUAUUGGCCAAAAAUGAAAUUUUACCAGAGUUUUAAAGACAUGAUUCACAUUUCACUGAUGCUUUAUUUCUUUUUUGUGCAGAUGUUCCCUGCCACUGGGUAAUUGUUCUACGCUUUGAUAUGUGCAGAAGGGUUAAUAAUAUCAGCCUCCAUGUCCCAGUGCCUAGAAUCUGUUCAGAAUAGUUACUAAAUACUGAAUGCAAAGUCUAGUAAAUAUUUUCACUCUGAAAACGUAUACUUCCUCGUGAAUGAAAUAAUUAUUAUUAUUAUGGACCAAUAGAUAUUAUUGAUAGAUUUGCUUGUUGUUUGAUUCCUGAGUGUUGAUAAAGUUUCCUUAAUCUCAUUAUAAGCCUUAGGUAGGGGAAAAUGAAGCCCCAAAUAAAAGAGAUUAUAAGAGAGCUUCUGGCUCCUUUAAAUGACUUUAAGCCCUUGGUAUGGGUGAUUUACGGUCUAACCUACUGAAAGAACUUGAAAAUCAUAUUUAUAGACCAUUACUGGCCAUUUUUAAGGAUUUGUGGGGGAAAUGAUCAUUUCUAAAAUUCUACAGUUUGACAUGUGCCCCUAAUUUUUAAAAAUAAUAAGCUGAAUGCCCAUUCCAACCUAGUAUAAGAGAGUUUCUUAAACCAACAUAUUUUGAGAAUUAAAAGAAGAAAAAAGAAGCAGAUCACCAGGAGCCUGCGUGGCUUUGCUAAGAUUAUUUGCUUUGGUGGUUGGACCGCGGGAGUGCUAGUGAGGGGUGGUCAGUGCGGUCUGUCUGAAUUUCAAAAGACGUUUGUCAAAGGAGCUCAUGAUGUACUAUAGAAAAUAGAGAAAUUUGGUCUCAAUCAAUGGUUUUCAAAGAUUUGUUUGAACACAAAAAUUUUUUUUUUCAAAUAAGAUAUCAUGAGGAAAUACAAUAUG